GAUCACUGGGUGUCCAAGGUCCAGCAGGAAAAAAAGAGGACUUGCCAUUUUGGAAGGGACAGUAGAGCCUGAUCAGCAAUAAAAGGUUGGGUUGCUCUGACACAAUGGGGGCUGAGAAAAAUGCAUGUGGGAGUCACAGCUGUCCUGCUUGGGGAGCUCCUGGUAUUCUCUUGUCCAGUUUUCACUGUGAAUGGGUAUAUGCAGUGAACCUGGCUUGAGACAUCUCAAACCCUUUGGUGAUGAAGUUUUGGGGCACAUCAACAGGACACAGGCAAGAACCCCCCCCCUCCAGUAUGGGGGCCAAUGCCUGGCUGAGGUGGCUCUCAGCAGCCUAAAGAAAGCAACGACUAACACUGAGCAAAGCGGAUUUUCCUGAGUUGCCCCAGAAGAUGGUAGAGGAAGGAAUAAAAAGACUUGAGGAGGAAAAAAUGUUGGAAUCAAUAUUUUAUGUGAAGUCAGAAACCCACUUGAGGAUUUUAUUGCAUAGGAAAGUGCAGAAGACACAGCAUUCACCAGGACCAUCAGGAACAUGCUGGUGAAGCUCACGGUGGCAGGGGAGAGUUGGGGUCAUGGAUACAAAUGGGAGCAAUGGAGCCCUGAAGUCACAGAGACCAGGAGGCAGCAUUAACCACUGGACGCCAGGGGCUGCCAUUACCACAAUGACUGGCAAUGUCAGGGGCAACCAAAGGUGCUUGAACACAGGAAAUUGUGGAGAUGGUCAGUGUAAUAUGGCCAAAUAGGUGGGAAGCCAAGAGUGCUGCUUAAUGCCAUUAGAUGAAGGAAGAGAAGUCCACAGGAAUGAGAGGGAAGCUGCUCACUGAACACACAUGGAGAAAUGGAUGUGCAUGGCACAAGGAGUGGCUGCGGUAGCCGUGGAGGUCUCAGCUCUGCAUGGGAUCCUAAAAGCUCUCCCUGCCUACUCCUGCUCUGUCACCCGGACGCUUCACAAACAUUUCUCUUUGCUUAUUUUAUUCUGAUUGGCAUCUGCUUCCUGGAUGACCUAAAGUGGCAUAGGAAGUCUCAGAAAAUGGUAAAUAAAAUUCCUCUUCAAUGCCCCCCAACCCGCCACACACAAAAAAUUAGAAAUAAAAUUCUUCACUUCAAUAUGGAGGAGUAACUGGGCAGGGCUCUGUCUGGACAUGUUCAGAAAUGCAAGGAAAUAAGAAUAACUGUCAUGAAGAAAAUCCUUAGUCCAAAGCUAUUUUCAGGUGGCUUCAUAAUUCCAAGUUCUAUUAACUUGCGUGAAAGGUCUUAAACUUGUCAGAUCUAAUUCCUGUUUUCUGCCAUGAUUUAGAAGUUUUCCUGCAAAGUGGCAGAGGACAGUAAUUGAACUUGCGGUCCUGAAUCACGACUGGAUGAGGAUUGGCCCAAAUCAGAUCUCUUUCAAGUCUCUCUGGGAUCACCAAGGGCAACGGUGCCCUUGACUUCCAGAGAAAAUCAUGAAAAAGCAUUAACAUGUACUUUACAGCUAGCCUUGAUGGACUGAAGACCACUUUCUUAUGCUUCCUCUUCCUCCUAGUUGGACACCCACCAGGUGAAGUGGGUGGUCUCUGCUAGGAAGAGUGUUUUUUCCCCCCACACCAAGGGCAAGGGAAAUGGCUGCAAACAAGGCAGGAGUAUUUAAGCCCUUGGUGACUUCUGGAGAUGACGUUUCUUCCAUCUAUCACCACCAGCCAGGGCUUCAGUGAGCCAGAAGAGUAUAGCACUCUUUGGAGAGAAACAUUCAUUCAUCUGUUGAUAGGAGUUGUCUGGAGCUUCUGGUUAAAUUGCAUUUUCCUCACUGUCUCUACCUAUGCCUAAGAGAGCUGAGAGGCUGAAGCAAUAGGAGUAACUUCGACUUGGUUAACUGGUGUGCAUCCUAGUAAUAGUGAAUGUUUGUUGUUUACAAUCAUCUUAUAUACGCUUUUCACACAGUUUCCAUCUUGUCUAGAUUCCCAAUUAAAGUCAUCGGUUGGGUUAAGGCAAUCCUAUUAAAAUGUCUCCUGAAUGUAGGCAUUUGGUGAAUGUGUAUUGCAUGAAAUUGAAUUGACUGUAAUUUAGUUGCUUAUUUUUCGGUCUUCCCCACUGGUCUGAGUUCCUUGAAGGUAGACGGUGUGUCUUUUAUCUCUGUGUGUACAGAGCCUAGUACAGAGCUGCACAUAUGGGGCAAUCAGUAAUUGUCUGUUGAAUGAAUGAAUGAGGGAGCAGAGCCAUAAUGCACUAGCAAAGAUGAAUUUAUUGGAGUACUUAUAAAGCAACAUAAGAGAGAUAAAGCUGAGACUGUAAGGAAUGAGACUCAAGAAGUUGACACAUUGGAGGGCUUAUACUCAGAGAAAUCAAAGUCCAUGCACUGUGGCUCCUGGGCCACGAAGACUGGCAUGACUGAUGACGGGGGAAGAAUAUGGGUUGGUGCAAGGCUUGACCCUAACUGCUGCUCUGCCUCUGUUUCCACCAUGAGGCCAGGCUAGCUGGCAUCAGCAUCAGCAUUGCUGAAUGAAACAGAGAGCCUUCCCUAAUUCUCACUUCUGCCCCUGACUGUAGCCAACCUUAGUUGCAUGCAAUCUAAGCAAUCAUAGCUUCCUUCAGCCACUGUUUCCCUUACUGUAAGUCCUUGGCCUGAAAUUUGAUGUGACACGGGCUCAUUCAAUAAACUGUUACUCCUCAAAGUUGGCAAUAGUAACUCAUAGUGCUUUUUCCAUAAAAAUCAGUGGCUGUUGCCCAUACAUGGAAAAUUUGUGCAAUGCUUCUUCCCUCUACUCCUCUUGACAGUGCUCAAUAAAGUAAACUUGCCAGUGAUUCCCUACGUGGUAGAAGCGUUCUUGUGGGUAAGCUUGUACCUUGUCAUGGGAACCUGCUAUUCCUUCUGAACAGUUAGCAGGAAUCAUUUCAGAGGAUGUGCACCUUGGGGUAGGAGCAGAGGAGGAAAGUGCUCAUGUCAGGUAUCCCUGAAUUCCACCACAAAAUGUACCAUAAACUUCUAGUUUCCAGUUUCAUUCUGUAAAUGAGUAAAAACUUAACAGGUGUUCAUAGAAUUAAUUAAUUAAUUAAUCUGAUGAGCUGUGAGGCAAAGCAGAGUUUUAAAAAGUCUGCAAAUAUGUGUUAUUUAAAAUUUAAUUAUGAGAAAAAGGGAGGUGGAAUGGAUGAAUGAAUAAAGAAUAAAUGUCCUAAAUAGGAUGACCCUAUUCAUUAGAGCUCCCACACAUGCCAUAUUCAAAUGUGACCUAUAGCAUUUUUUAUUACAAUCAUUUUUGUACUUGAAGUAGUAGGUGAUUCAGUCUAGAUGUGAAUUUGGGAGUAACAAGGAAAAUAAGGACUACAUAUACGCUCAGUGAUUUAAACCAUGUGAAAUGAACAAAGAAAAAACAAUGCAACGAAAAGGUGCAAGACCUUUUGGGAAAAACAUAAAACUUAAUAGAAAGAUAUUAAAAAGUAUGCUUAACUAUUAAAAGAGACCUAGAUUUAUGUCUUUAAUUUCUAAACAAAUGAGGAGAUACACCACGAAUAUAGAUAGGGAGACUCAAUAACAUAAAUAGAUAAUUCUCUCCCAAUUAGUCUAUGAAUUUGAUGCAAUUUUAACAAAAAUUUUGAUUAUAGAAUUUAUAAAAUCAAAGGGCCAUGAAAGACAAUGUUAAAAAUAGACAAGAUUGGAUUAAAAAAAUCAGCCUCAGAUUAAAGAUGGCUGAAUAGAGACAGCUCCUGUGUGCAACACCCAGCAAGAGAGAUGCAGAAAGUGAGAGAUCUCCUACCUCCAACUGAGGUAACAGGUUCAUUUCAACGGGUCUGGUCAGAUGGUGAGCAAAGCCUAGGCAGGGCAGAUCAAGGUGGGGAGGGGCGCUGCUUCACCCAGAAAGUGCAUCUGACUAGAGAAUCGGAAGUGGCCCCUGGGCAACCAGGUCCAGUUACAGCACUACCCCAAAGCCUCAACAAUCCACAGAACAGGGGAUCUUCACUGGUCAAGCACCUCUGGGAAUUACAAGUACAGAGUGCACAGAGUUGAACAAUAAUCCAGGCUGGUGCCAUGGACUGUUGGCACAGAUCCAUGCAAACACAUAACCCCAUAAGCUGUCUGGGAGAGCCUGUGGCCUGAGCUACUGGCCCCUCUCCACCACAGGGAGAGAGAGGGAGCUGAAAGCGGGGAGACAGGCUGUGUGGCUAGGCAGGCCCCUCCUCCCAAAAAUGCCAGCAGGCUGAAGAACUAAUGUGUGGGGGUUUCGCAACCAGUGCCUCAGUCUGAGCUGAACCCUGAAUGAUCCAGCUCCCUGGAGAAAAUGGCACCCGCCGUUAAACAGGAGGGCCUAGUCUUCAUGUGUAAACAAAAAACACAGGAAGUCUACAUAGCAACGUGACAUGACAGAGUCCUUGACAACCCAGCAGGCCUCCAGGUUAGCGGAAGGAGGGGCACCUGCAGUUAAAGAGGUGGGCCUAACUUCCCAGUGUAAACACAAAGAAGAUACAUAGCAACCUGACAGAGUCCCUGGAAACCCAGCAGCUCCUGGACAGGCAAACAAGUGGCCUCAUCAAGCAGCUCCCCCAGAUCAAAGCUAGAUGAAUUCAUGAAGAUGGAAAGAAACCAGCACAAAAAAGAUGAAACCAGCAAAGACCAGAAUGCCUCUUCUCCUUCAAGGGAUCACAACUCCUCACCAAAAAGGGAUCAAAACAUGACAGAGAACGAGUUUGAUGAAUUGACAGAAACAGGCUUCAGAAGUUGGGUAAUAACAAACUUCUCUGAGCUAAAGGAACACAUUCUAGCUUAAUACAAAGAACCUAAAAACCUUGAAUAAAGGUUAGAUGAAAAGCUAACUAGAAUAACCAGCUUAGAGAAGAAUAUAAACAACUUGAUGGAGCUGAAAAACACAGCACAAGAACUACGUGAAGCAAACACAAGUUUCAAUAGCUGAAUUAAUCAAGCAGAAGAAAGGCUAUCAGAUAUUGAAGAUCAAAUCAAUGAAAUAAAAUGAGAAGGAAAGACUAGAGAAAAAAUAGUGAAAAGAACAAAGCCUCCAAGAAAUAUGGGAUUAUGUGAAAAGACCUAAUCUACACUUGAUUGGUGUGCCAGAAUGUGACAGGGAGAUGAAUCCAAGCUGGAAGACACUCUCCUGGAUAUUAUCCAGGAGAACUUCCCCAGCCUAGCAAGGCAGGCCAGCAUUCAAAUCCAAGAUAUACAGAGAAUUCCACAAAGAUAUUCAUCAAGAAGAGCCAUCCCAAGAAGGCACAUAAUCAUCAGGUUCACCAGGGUUGAAGUGAAGGAAAAAAUGCUAAGGGCAGCCAGAGAGAAAGGUCAGGUCACCCACAAAGGGAAGUCCAUCAGACUUAAGGCAGAUCUCUCAGCAGAAACCCUAUAACCCAGAAAAGAGUGGGGGGCCAAUAGUCAACAUCCUUAAAGAAAAGAACUUUCAACCCAGAAUCACAUAUCAAGCCAAACUAAGCCUCAUAAGUGAAGGAGAAAUAAAAUCCUUUAUGGACAAGCAAUUACUGAGAGAUUUUGGUACCACCAGACCAGCGUUACAAGAGCUCCUGAAAGAAACACUAAACAUGGAAAGGAACAAGUACCAGCCACUGCAAAAACAUAUCAAAUGGCAAAGUACAAUAAUGCAAUGAAGAAACCGAGUCACCUAAUGGACAAAAAUAAACCAGUCAGUGACAAAAUAGCAGGAUCAAAUUCAGACAUAACAAUAUUA
ensembl:lncRNA